ACCGAUAAAGGCAAAUCUUGAGCGAUCAGGAGGCGCAAAGUAAAGGGUCUUUAUAAGCGGUUUAAGUUGUUUAAACCGCUUAUGAGAAAAGAUAGCCUUACUGCCGAAG
rnacentral:ncRNA from 1 species